rnacentral:rRNA from 1 species
AUGAACGCUGGCGGCGUGCCUAAUACAUGCAAGUCGAGCGAACAGACGAGGAGCUUGCUCCUCUGACGUUAGCGGCGGACGGGUGAGUAACACGUGGAUAACCUACCUAUAAGACUGGGAUAACUUCGGGAAACCGGAGCUAAUACCGGAUAAUAUAUUGAACCGCAUGGUUCAAUAGUGAAAGACGGUUUUGCUGUCACUUAUAGAUGGAUCCGCGCCGCAUUAGCUAGUUGGUAAGGUAACGGCUUACCAAGGCAACGAUGCGUAGCCGACCUGAGAGGGCGGAGGGCGGCGGUGGAGCGGAGCCGCGAUCGAGCGGCCGACGGGAGGCACAAGGGGGGAAGCUUCCGCAAAGAGCGAAUGCCUGAAGGAGCAACGCGAAGGGAGUGAAGAAUGUAUUCGGAUCGUAAAACUCUGUUAUUGUGGAAAAACAAAUGUCUAAGGAACUAUGCACGCCUUGACGGUAUCUAAACAGAAAGCAACAGCUAUCUACGU